rnacentral:rRNA from 1 species
UUACCACGCAUUAUCAGAACUGUAGGGACGCAUGUGGAAAGCACGAGCCGGGAAUGGAAGAACCGGUACAAGCGAGGUAGGUGUACAAUAGGCAAAUCCGUUGUAUGAUCCGAAGACGUGAUGUGGAGCGAAAUAAAGUAGCAAAGCGUGUGAGCCAUGUGCCGAGAAAAGCUGCUAUUGUGUAAUGCGUGCCCGUACCGUAAACCGACACAGGUGGAUGAGGAGAGAAUCCUAAGGCCGACGGAAGAAGCAUUGUUAAGGAAUUCGGCAAAAUGACCCCGUAACUUCGGGAGAAGGGGUGCCUGCGAGAGCAGGCCGCAGAGAAUAGGCUCAAGCAACUGUUUAGCAAAAACACAGGUCUAUGCGAAACCGAAAGGUGAAGUAUAUGGGCUGACGCCUGCCCGGUGCUGGAAGGUUAAGAGGAGAGGUUAGCGUAAGCGAAGCUUUGAAUUUAAGCCCCAGUAAACGGCGGCCGUAACGAUAACGGUCCUAAGGUAGCGAAAUUCCUUGUCGGGUAAGUUCCGACCCGCACGAAAGGCGUAAUGAUUUGAGCACUGUCUCGACAAUGCAUCCGGUGGAAUUGAAGUACCAGUGAAGAUGCUGGUUACCCGCGCCAGGACGGAAAGACCCCAUGGAGCUUUACUCCAGUUUGAUACUGGGAUUCGGUACUGCAUGUACAGGAUAGGUGGGAGACGAAGAAGGAUGGACGCCAGUCUGUCCGGAGUCGCUGUUGGGAUACCACCCCUGUAGUACUGGGUUUCUAACCAGUUACCAUGAUCUGGUAAUGGGACAAUGUCAGGCGGGGAGUUUGACUGGGGCGGUCGCCUCCGAAAGGGUAUCGGAGGCGCUCAAAGGUUCCCUCAGAAUGGUUGGAAACCAUUUGAAGAGUGCAAAGGCAUAAGGGAGCUUGACUGUGACACCGACGGGUGGAGCAGGUACGAAAGUAGGACUUAGUGAUCCGGUGGUAUAAAGUGGGAUUGCCAUCGCUCAACGGAUAAAAGCUACCCUGGGAUAACAGGCUUAUCACUCCCAAGAGUUCACAUCGACGGAGUGGUUUGGCACCUCGAUGUCGGCUCAUCGCAUCCUGGGGCUGUAGCAGGUCCCAAGGGUUGGGCUGUUCGCCCAUUAAAGCGGUACGCGAGCUGGGUUCAGAACGUCGUGAGACAGUUCGGUCCCUAUCCGGCGCGGGCGGAGGAUAUUUGAGAGGAGCUGUCCUUAGUACGAGAGGACCGGGAUGGACGGACCACUGGUGUAUCUGUUGUCGACCAACGGCAUGGCAGAGUAGCCAAGUCUGGAAGGGAUAAACGCUGAAGGCAUCUAAGCGUGAAGCCCCCCUCAAGAUGAGAUAUCCCUCCUUCGGGAGUAAGACCCCUUGAAGACUACAAGGUAGAUAGGGCAGAGGUGGAAGCAUGGCAACAUGUGGAGCUGACUGUUACUAAUAGGUCGAGGGCU